UGAACGCUAGCGGCAGGCUUAACACAUGCAAGUCGAGGGGCAGCGGGUGUAGCAAUACAUGCCGGCGACCGGCGCAAGGGUGCGUAACGCGUGAGCAAUCUGCCCGUAUCAGGGGGAUAAGCGAUGGAAACGUCGUCUAAUACCGCAUAACACCAAUGAUGGCAUCAUCGAUGGUUGAAAGCUUCGGUGGAUACGGAUGAGCUCGCGAGACAUUAGUUAGUUGGCGGGGUAACGGCCCACCAAGACCGCGAUGUCUAGGGGAACUGAGAGGUUGGUCCCCCCACACUGGAACUGAGACACGGUCCAGACUCCUACGGGAGGCAGCAGUGAGGAAUAUUGGACAAUGGCCGGAAGGCUGAUCCAGCCAUGCCGCGUGAAGGAAUAAGGUUCCCUAUGGAUUGUAAACUUCUUUUGUACGAGAGCAAUAAGUGUCACGAGUGACACGAUGAGAGUAUCGUACGAAUAAGCAUCGGCUAACUCCGUGCCAGCAGCCGC
rnacentral:rRNA from 1 species